rnacentral:rRNA from 1 species
UGGGGAAUUUUGGACAAUGGGGGAAACCCUGAUCCAGCCAUCCCGCGUGUGCGAUGAAGGCCUUCGGGUUGUAAAGCACUUUUGGCAGGAAAGAAACGUCGCGGGUUAAUACCCCGCGAAACUGACGGUACCUGCAGAGUAAGCACCGGCUAACUACGUGCCAGCAGCCGCGGUAAUACGUAGGGUGCAAGCGUUAAUCGGAAUUACUGGGCGUAAAGCGUGCGCAGGCGGUUCGGAAAGAAAGAUGUGAAAUCCCAGAGCUUAACUUUGGAACUGCAUUUUUAACUACCGGGCUAGAGUGUGUCAGAGGGAGGUGGAAUUCCGCGUGUAGCAGUGAAAUGCGUAGAUAUGCGGAGGAACACCGAUGGCGAAGGCAGCCUCCUGGGAUAACACUGACGCUCAUGCACGAAAGCGUGGGGAGCAAACAGGAUUAGAUACCCUGGUAGUCCACGCCCUAAACGAUGUCAACUAGCUGUUGGGGCCUUCGGGCCUUGGUAGCGCAGCUAACGCGUGAAGUUGACCGCCUGGGGAGUACGGUCGCAAGAUU